AAAAAGGGUCAGUUGGCUAAAUAUGCCACGCUCAUCAUGAUGAUGAGUGCUGUAUGGCUAUCAAGACAUAUGGCUGACAUAAUUUUUGUAAAUCAAUAGGGUUGGUUCGUUUAGCCGACCCUCCA
rfam:Medicago truncatula strain A17 chromosome 1, whole genome shotgun sequence.